rnacentral:tRNA from 1 species
CCUUAUACGAUGAUUAUUGCGAUGAGUGUCCACACAGAUUGGUACGGUUUAUAACGUUAAGAGUAAGGAAAACUACUUUUCCAGAUGGGGCUAUAGCUCAGCUGGGAGAGCGCUUCGCCGGCAGCGAAGAGGUCAUCGGUUCGACCCCGAUUAGCUCCACCAUCUUUAAGUAUUUUCUUGAUACAGAAUAUUUAAAAAUGGUUACUUCCUUACGAAGUGAUUCGCUCUUUAACAAUUUGGAAAGCUGACGAAUAACAACAAUCCCCUUAUCUACGGAUAAGCGUUGUUAUUCAAUUAAAAGUUCUCAAAUCCUAAAACUGUGUUUUAGGUACCAACACACAUUCAAGUGUUCUUGGAAACAUCCUUGUGAUGUUUAUAUUUGAGUCCGGCAAAAUCGAAUGUCUCUCGCUCAUUCAAUAAUGAGAGACAAAACCUUGGUUGUUUGAACAUACAAGACCUCUUGGGGUUGUAU